GGGUGCGAUCAUACCAGCACUAAUGCACCAGAUCCCAUCAGAACUCCGAAGUUAAACGUGCUUGGGCGAGAGUAGUACUAAGAUGGGUGACCUCUUGGGAAGUCCUCGUGUUGCACCCC
rnacentral:rRNA from 1 species